rnacentral:lncRNA from 1 species
GAUUCACAGGCCCCGGGGGCACGUGGAGGCCAGUCCACCCCCCUCCCUCAGCCCCCUUCCCCUGGACUCACCGACCUGCCUUCUGUGCCACAGACGCGUCACCUUCGUCUCGACCCAGGCCCUCCUCCAGGCUGUCCCCAGCUCCUUGCACAGCUGCCCCUUCUCACCUUCCAGGACUCUGUCAGGUGUCACGUCCACAGGGGCCCCCGACUCCCCUGUCCACGGUCACCCCCUCCACCCAGGCCCCUCCCAGCAGGCCUCUGUUUACCCUUCUGGAUACCACUCACCACCAUCGGAAGUGACCCCGAGGGCAUGUUUCCUUGGCGUCAUCUCCCUCGCCCCCUCUUGAGNCUCCAAGGCCUCAGGAACCCACCUGUCCUGCUAAGCCCCGUGUGCCCUGCACCUGCUGCAGCACCUCACCCAGAAGCACUGGCCGGCUGGAAUUUAGACCAGGUGGCUUGGCCACCUGGAUGAACACAACACCCCAGGAAGAGUAGGACAAGAAGAGGGGCAAGGCUUGGUCCCCAACUCCUUGGAGUUCCAGAUGGUUACCACCCUGGGCUGUGCAGAUGCAGAGCAUCUCCAUCAUUGUAGAUGGUUUCCUGGGAUGACACUGGCCGCACAGACAAGGUCCUGAAUCCAGCAAGUCAUCAGGAAAAAGCUCGUGGGGACCCGGAUGCUGGGAGGCAGGAAGGGGACCUGGGGAGCAGCUGCGACAACAGUCUAACCUCAGCAAGGAGAGCCAGGCAGCUGUUUGCCUUGAAACCCUCAGAAAUGAAGGUGCCAGCAAUCUGCUUUGCAGCAAGAACUUUCCAUCUCUGCAUGUGCGGGGUAUAAUUAUGGCAUUU